rnacentral:rRNA from 1 species
GAGGAUGCGAACGUUAUCCGGAUUUAUUGGGUUUAAAGGGUGCGUAGGCCGUGAGUCAAUUCAGCGGUAAAAUUGAUAGGCUCAACCUCUUCGAGCCGUUGAAACUGAUUCACUUGAGUGAGCGAGAAGUAUGCGGAAUGCGUGGUGUAGCGGUGAAAUGCAUAGAUAUCACGCAGAACUCCGAUUGCGAAGGCAGCAUACCGGCGCUCAACUGACGCUGAAGCACGAAAGCGUGGGGAUCAAA